GCAUCAGUGGUGUAGCGGUAACAUUGGGUCUUCCCAUCUGUCGCUUAUGUAAGCAAAUUAUGUCAGCGUGAUUGGCCUAGCUCCGGGUUCGACUCCCGGCUGAUGCA